rnacentral:lncRNA from 1 species
GGGCAAGGACACCCCCAGCUCCAACUGCUCCCUGAACUACUUCCAGCUGGGGCUCAGAGAGCGGCUGUGCGAGGCCAAGAGCCACCAGGCACCAGGCUGCAGGUGAUGGGGGAAAAGAGGGUGAAUGCCUGUGCGGCGAUAUUGAAGGGGCAGCUCCGCUCCCACUCGUGCAGCGUGCCGUUGCAUUGGAUUUGCCAGAAAGAGGCCACCAAGAUUUAAGCACAGCUUCAACUGAGGGAGCCACGACAAGGCACAAAUGGGAUGGGACACGGCACCAGGAUGCCCAAAAGGAGCUCCAGAGCUUCGAGGCUGGUGGCU